UACGUAGGCAGCAAGCGUUGUUCGGAGUUACUGGGCGUAAAGGGUGCGUAGGUGGUGGGGUAAGUCGGAUGUGAAAGCUCGGAGCUCAACUCCGAAAUGGCAUUGGAAACUACCCUGCUAGAGGAUUGGAGGGGGGACUGGAAUACUUGGUGUAGCAGUGAAAUGCGUAGAUAUCAAGUGGAACACCAGUGGCGAAGGCGAGUCCCUGGACAAUUCCUGACACUGAGGCACGAAAGCUAGGGGAGCAAACAGG
rnacentral:rRNA from 1 species